rnacentral:rRNA from 1 species
UACGGGGGGGGCAAGCGUUGUUCGGAAUUACUGGGCGUAAAGGGCUCGUAGGCGGCCAACUAAGUCAGACGUGAAAUCCCUCGGCUUAACCGGGGAACUGCGUCUGAUACUGGAUGGCUUGAGUUCGGGAGAGGGAUGCGGAAUUCCAGGUGUAGCGGUGAAAUGCGCAGAUAUCAGGAGGAACACCGAUGGCGAAGGCAGGUCUCUGGGCCACUACUGACGCUGAGAAGCGAAAGCAUGGGGAGCGAACAGG